rnacentral:lncRNA from 1 species
AAACGAAUGUGCUUAAGAAGCACAGGGAUCACAAUGUCGGGAGAGCUCAACUGAGGCAGGUGACCAUCAGAUGACAUGACUUCAACAAUGGACUCACCACCAAGAUUUUGGUGCAAAUGUUCAGAGGCAACCACAGGCACAGCCAAGUCCUUCAUGCUCUGCAGGAUGUGACAGGGGACUGUGACCAUAUGUAGGAUUGCCCUCAUGUCACUGUGGAAGAUGGUCUGUGCCACGCUAAGGGCUAUGUCUGGUCUCAUAUUGAAGAGUGUGCGGCUGAAUUCUUGCACGGCUAUUGAAUCCAUGUCUCCACCCAC